GAUGAACGCUGGCGGCGUGCCUAAUACAUGCAAGUCGAGCGAACGGACGAGAAGCUUGCUUCUCUGAUGUUAGCGGCGGACGGGUGAGUAACACGUGGAUAACCUACCUAUAAGACUGGGAUAACUUCGGGAAACCGGAGCUAAUACCGGAUAAUAUUUUGAACCGCAUGGUUCAAAAGUGAAAGACGGUCUUGCUGUCACUUAUAGAUGGAUCCGCGCUGCAUUAGCUAGUUGGUAAGGUAACGGCUUACCAAGGCAACGAUGCAUAGCCGAACUGAGAGAGUGAUCGGCCACACGGGAAGUGAGACACGGUCCAGACUCCUACGGGAGGCAGCAGUAGGGAAUCUUCCGCAAUGGGCGAAAGCCUGACGGAGCAACGCCGCGUGAGUGAUGAAGGUCUUCGGAGCGUAAAACUCUGUUAUUAGGGAAGAACAUAUGUGUAAGUAACUGUGCACAUCUUGACGGUACCUAAUCAGAAAGCCACGGCUAACUACGUG
rnacentral:rRNA from 1 species